CUGUGGCCACAUCACAUUGGAACAUUGUUUCCCAUACAAUCACCAAAGUUAAGCAAUAUCGAGCCUUGUCAGUACCUAGAUGGGUGACCACUAGGAAAUACCAGGUGUUGUAAG